rnacentral:rRNA from 1 species
AUUGAACGCUGGCGGCAGGCUUAACACAUGCAAGUCGAGCGGAGAUGAGGUGCUUGCACCUUAUCUUAGCGGCGGACGGGUGAGUAAUGCUUAGGAAUCUGCCUAUUAGUGGGGGACAACAUUCCGAAAGGAAUGCUAAUACCGCAUACGUCCUACGGGAGAAAGCAGGGGAUCUUCGGACCUCGCGCUAAUAGAUGAGCCUAAGUCGGAUUAGCUAGUUGGUGGGGUAAAGGCCUACCAAGGCGACGAUCUGUAGCGGGUCUGAGAGGAUGGUCCGCCACACUGGGACUGAGACACGGCCCAGACUCCUACGGGAGGCAGCAGUGGGGAAUAUUGGACAAUGGGGGGAACCCUGAUCCAGCCAUGCCGCGUGUGUGAAGAAGGCCUUAUGGUUGUAAAGCACUUUAAGCGAGGAGGAGGCUACUGAGACUAAUACUCUUGGAUAGUGGACGUUACUCGCAGAAUAAGCACCGGCUAACUCUGUGCCAGCAGCCGCAGUAACAC